AUUGCCAUCCAUCAGUAAAUGCCAUAUCACCUAACAUCCAUUAGUAGAUGUUGUAGAAACAUCCAUCAGUAGAUGUUAUCAUCACUACCAUCAGAAGCAGCACAUAAUCCUAAAAAAAUAAAAUAAAAUCUAAUAAAUAAAAGAAAAGAAAAGAAAAAGAUUUAGAAACGGGGUUAGAAACUGGGUUGCCUCUCAGGUAGCGCUUCUUUAACGUCAUUAGCUUGACCCGGUAAAGUCCAAACACCCCUCAGUAGGUGUUGAUUUUUAACGUUGGCGUUCUUCCUUCCUUCAUGACACCAACAAUCUUCUUGUCAC
rnacentral:lncRNA from 1 species